rnacentral:rRNA from 1 species
AGUGAAUAGAUACCCCGGUAGUCCACGCUGUAAACGAUGGAUACUAGGUGUAGGGGGCGUAGCCCUCUGUGCCGCAGUUAAACACAUUAAGUAUCCCGCCUGGGGAGUACGAUCGCAAGAUUAAAACUCAAAGGAAUUGACGGGGGCCCGCACAAGCAGCGGAGCAUGUGGUUUAAUUCGACGCAACGCGAAGAACCUUACCAAGGCUUGACAUCUGUAGAAUUCGGUAGAAAUACUGAAGUGCCCUUUCGGGGGAACUGCAAGACAGGUGGUGCAUGGUUGUCGUCAGCUCGUGUCGUGAGAUGUUAGGUUAAGUCCUGCAACGAGCGCAACCCCUGUUGUUAGUUGCUACAAUUAAGUUGAGUACUCUAACGAGACUGCCGAGGUUAACUCGGAGAAAGGUGGGGAUGACGUCAAAUCAUCAUGCCCUUUAUGCCUUGGGCCACACACGUGCUACAAUGGCCGGUACAAAGAGAAGCAAGGCAGCGAUGCGGAGCAAAUCUCAAAAACCGGGUCCCAGUUCGGAUUGCAGG